GUGCUCGCUUUGGCAGCACAUAUACAAAAAUUAGAAAAAUACAGAAAGGACUAGGAUGGCCCCUGCGCAAGGAUGACACGCAAAUUCAUGAAGCAUUCCAUAUUUUU